CCCGGCGAGGGGAGUGAAAAAGAACCUGAAACCGUGUACGUACAAGCAGUGGGAGCACGCUUAGGCGUGUGACUGCGUACCUUUUGUAUAAUGGGUCAGCGACUUAUAUUCUGUAGCAAGGUUAACCGAAUAGGGGAGCCGAAGGGAAACCGAGUCUUAACUGGGCGUUAAGUUGCAGGGUAUAGACCCGAAACCCGGUGAUCUAGCCAUGGGCAGGUUGAAGGUUGGGUAACACUAACUGGAGGACCGAACCGACUAAUGUUGAAAAAUUAGCGGAUGACUUGUGGCUGGGGGUGAAAGGCCAAUCAAACCGGGAGAUAGCUGGUUCUCCCCGAAAGCUAUUUAGGUAGCGCCUCGUGAAUUCAUCUCCGGGGGUAGAGCACUGUUUCGGCAAGGGGGUCAUCCCGACUUACCAACCCGAUGCAAACUGCGAAUACCGGAGAAUGUUAUCACGGGAGACACACGGCGGGUGCUAACGUCCGUCGUGAAGAGGGAAACAACC
rnacentral:rRNA from 1 species